rnacentral:rRNA from 1 species
UACGUAGGUGGCAAGCGUUGUCCGGAUUUACUGGGCGUAAAGGGCGUGCAGGCGGUCUGUUAAGUGCAGGGUGAAAGCUCCCGGCUCAACUGGGAGAGGUCCUUGCAUACUGGCGGACUUGAGGGGGGUAGAGGAAAGUGGAAUUCCCGGUGUAGUGGUGAUAUGCGUAGAUAUCGGGAGGAACACCUGUGGCGAAGGCGGCCCCCUGGUUGGAUACUGACGCUGAGACGCGAAAGCGUGGGGAGCAAACAGG